rnacentral:rRNA from 1 species
UACGUAGGUGGCAAGCGUUGUCCGGAUUUAUUGGGCGUAAAGCGAGUGCAGGCGGUCUUUUAAGUCUGAUGUGAAAGCCCCCGGCUUAACCGAGGAAUUGCAUCGGAAACUGUGUUUCUUGAGUGCAGAAGAGGAGAGUGGAACUCCAUGUGUAGCGGUGGAAUGCGUAGAUAUAUGGAAGAACACCAGUGGCGAAGGCGGCUCUCUGGUCUGUAACUGACGCUGAGGCACGAAAGCGUGGGGAUCGAACAGG